UACGGGGGGGGGCAAGCGUUGUUCGGAAUUACUGGGCGUAAAGGGCGCGUAGGCGGCCUGCUAAGUCAGACGUGAAAUCCCUCAGCUUAACUGGGGAACUGCGUCUGAUACUGGUGUGGCUUGAGUGCAGGAGAGGAACGCGGAAUUCCAGGUGUAGCGGUGAAAUGCGUAGAUAUCUGGAGGAACACCGGUGGCGAAGGCGGCGUUCUGGACUGCAACUGACACUGAGGAACGAAAGCCAGGGGAGCAAACGGG
rnacentral:rRNA from 1 species